rnacentral:rRNA from 1 species
CGGCGGACGGGUGAGUAACGCGUAGGAAUCUACCUGGUAGUGGGGGACAACAUGGUGAAAACCAUGCUAAUACCGCAUACGCCCUAAGGGGGAAAGCGGGGGGAUCUUCGGACCUCGCGCUAUUGGAUGAGCCUGCGUAAGAUUAGCUAGUUGGUGGGGUAAAAGCUCACCAAGGCGACGAUCUUUAGCUGGUCUGAGAGGAUGAUCAGCCACACUGGAACUGAGACACGGUCCAG